rnacentral:Y_RNA from 1 species
AGUUGGUCCGAGUGCAGUGGUGUUUACAACUAAUUGAUCACAACCAGUUACAGAUUCCUUUGUUCUUUCUCCAAUCCACUGCUCCACUUGACCAGCCUUUA